AAAAUUCUCGCUAACCGAAUCCAAGAACACAUUA
rnacentral:piRNA from 1 species